UGGGUUUGUUCUGGGAUCACAGCUCUCCUCAUUCCCAAAGCCCAGGAAACCUUCUUGGACCCACCCCUGGGGAAGCCACUAGGUCCAGAUGCCUCUUCUCAAGACUGGCUCUCUCUCAGCGCCAGGGGACCAGGGAGCAGGCUUUUGGAAGUGGCCUCUGGCAGCGCCAUGGUGGACGAGGACAGUAGGAUUGGCUGAGGUUGAGAAGCGUCAUGGGACUGAAGUCCUCCCAGCAAGGCCUUCCUGGCAGAGUUGAGCUGAUUCCACAGGCCUUCCAGCCCUGUCUCAUUGCCUUGUAGAAGGAACACGGGGGCCAGAAGGGAGAGGCUGGCUUUGUUUGCAUAGUCCUUGAGGGGAGAAGGUACCAGGAGAAGUGGACCCUCCCCCUGCCCCGGGAACUCAGUGGCAGGAA